rnacentral:rRNA from 1 species
CCUACGGGUGGCUGCAGUAGGGAAUAUUGCUCAAUGGGGGAAACCCUGAAGCAGCAACGCCGCGUGGAGGAUGAAGGUUUUCGGAUUGUAAACUCCUUUUGUUAGAGAAGAUAAUGACGGUAUCUAACGAAUAAGCACCGGCUAACUCCGUGCCAGCAGCCGCGGUAAUACGGAGGGUGCAAGCGUUACUCGGAAUCACUGGGCGUAAAGAGCGCGUAGGCGGGAUAGCAAGUCAGAUGUGGAAUCCUAUGGCUUAACCAUAGAACUGCAUUUGAAAAUGUGUUUCUAGAGGAUGGGAGAGGUAAGUGGAAUUUGUGGGUGAAGGGGAAAA